rnacentral:tRNA from 1 species
GCGUGCAAUCUGGUAGUGCGCACGCCUGGAAAGCGUGUUCCCUUGUGGAUCGAGAGUUCAAAUCUCUCCGUCGGCG